rfam:Echinostoma caproni strain Egypt genome assembly, scaffold: ECPE_scaffold0008854
GCAUUGCUGAUGAGUCCCAAACAGGACGGAACAGCUGUCUAGCAC